rnacentral:piRNA from 2 species
UGCUAAUAACGCCAAGGUCGCGGGUU